AUUGAACGCUGGCGGCAGGCCUAACACAUGCAAGUCGAGCGAGCGGCGGACGGGGGAGUAAUGGAUGGGGACUGCCCGAUAGAGGGGGAUAACUACUGGAAACGGUGGCUAAUACCGCAUACCAUCGGCUAACCCACAGGGGAUUAGCUUGUAGGUGGGGUAAAGGCUCACCUAGGCGACGAUCUCUAGUUGGUCUGAGAGGAUGAUCAGCCACCCUGGGACUGAGACACGGCCCAGACUCCGACGGAGGCAGCAGUGGGGAAUAUUGCACAAUGGGCGCAAGCCUGAUGCAGCCAUGCCGCGUGUAUGAAGAAGGCCUUAGGGUUGUAAAGUACUUUCAGCGGGGAGGCGUUACCCGCAGAAGAAGCACCGGCUAACUCCGUGCCAGCAGCCGCGGUAAUUC
rnacentral:rRNA from 1 species